AUGAACGCUGGCGGCGUGCUUAACACAUGCAAGUCGAGCGAAGCACUUACCAUUGACUCUUCGGAAGAUUUGGUAAAUGACUGAGCGGCGGACGGGUGAGUAACGCGUGGGUAACCUGCCUCAUACAGGGGAAUAACAGUUAGAAAUGGCUGCUAAUGCCGCAUAAGCGCACAGUACCGCAUGGUACGGUGUGAAAAACCGAGGUGGUAUGAGAUGGACCCGCGUCUGAUUAGGUAGUUGGUGGGGUAACGGCCUACCAAGCCGACGAUCAGUAGCCGGCCUGAGAGGGUGAACGGCCACAUUGGGACUGAGACACGGCCCAGACUCCUACGGGAGGCAGCAGUGGGGAAUAUUGCACAAUGGGGGAAACCCUGAUGCAGCGACGCCGCGUGAAGGAAGAAGUAUCUCGGUAUGUA
rnacentral:rRNA from 1 species